rnacentral:rRNA from 1 species
GAUGAACGCUGGCGGCGUGCCUAAUACAUGCAAGUCGAGCGAACAGACGAGGAGCUUGCUCCUCUGACGUUAGCGGCGGACGGGUGAGUAACACGUGGAUAACCUACCUAUAAGACUGGGAUAACUUCGGGAAACCGGAGCUAAUACCGGAUAAUAUAUCGAACCGCAUGGUUCAAUAGUGAAAGACGGUUUUGCUGUCACUUAUAGAUGGAUCCGCGCCGCAUUAGCUAGUUGGUAAGGUAACGGCUUACCAAGGCAACGAUGCGUAGCCGACCUGAGAGGGUGAUCGGCCACACUGGAACUGAGACACGGUCCAGACUCCUACGGGAGGCAGCAGUAGGGAAUCUUCCGCAAAGGGCGAAAGCCUGACGGAGCAACGCCGCGUGAGUGAUGAAGGUCUUCGGAUCGUAAAACUCUGUUAUUAGGGAAGAACAAAUGUGUAAGUAACUAUGCACGUCUUGACGGUACCUAAUCAGAAAGCCACGGCUAACUACGUG